rnacentral:rRNA from 1 species
UAGGGAAUAUUAGUAAUGGGGGAAACCCUGAUGCAGCAACGCCGCGUGAGUGAUGACGGCCUUCGGGUUGUAAAGCUCUGUCUUCAGGGACGAUAAUGACGGUACCUGAGGAGGAAGCCACGGCUAACUACGUGCCAGCAGCCGCGGUAAUACGUAGGUGGCGAGCGUUGUCCGGAUUUACUGGGCGUAAAGGGAGCGUAGGCGGACUUUUAAGUGAGAUGUGAAAUACCCGGGCUCAACUUGGGUGCUGCAUUUCAAACUGGAAGUCUAGAGUGCAGGAGAGGAGAAUGGAAUUCCUAGUGUAGCGGUGAAAUGCGUAGAGAUUAGGAAGAACACCAGUGGCGAAGGCGAUUCUCUGGACUGUAACUGACACUGAGGCACGAAAGCGUGGGGAGCAAACA